UAGAGUUUGAUCAUGGCUCAGGAUGAACGCUGGCGGCGUGCCUAACACAUGCAAGUCGAGCGAGAUGUCUAUGAUGGAUUCUUCGGAUGACAGAUUAGACGGAAAGCGGCGGACGGGUGAGUAACGCGUAGGCAACCUGCCCUUUGCAGANGGAUAGCCUCGGGAAACCGGGAUUAAAACCUCAUAAUGCGACUGAAAGACAUCUUCCGGUCGCCCAAGAUUUUUCGGCAAAGGAUGGGCCUGCGUCUGAUUACUAGUUGGUGGGGUAACGGCCUACCCAGGCAACGAUCAGUACCGACCUGANAAGGUGAUCGGCCACAUUGGAACUGANACACNGUCCNAACUNCUACCGGGACGCAACA
rnacentral:rRNA from 1 species